GACUCCUGAAGUUGCUGGAGGGUCACUAGAGCUCAGAGAAAGGGUUUUGCACCUUCCUCACUUUCUCUCUCUAGGGUUUUUCCCUCUUUACAAAGAUAUCAAAGGUUUAAGCUUGAUUUCUUCUCCUUGCUUGAUGUUAGCUGAUUGGGAGUGCCUUGGAGCUGUUGUUGAAGGAAGAAGAAGGGUUUUGAGGAGUGUUUCGCAGCUUUGAGCAUAGCAGUAGCUGGGUUGAUGCUUUGGAGAGGGUUGGGGAUAGUUCAGCAGCUAGAGAAGAGUCUUUUGCUGUGAUUUCUCUACCUAAAAUCUAGGGGAAAGCUAGAGUGAUGCCUUGAGAAGCAGCUGAAAUAUUCCUUUGGAACGGGAUAUUGGGAUCUUGCGAGUUGGUUUUGAAGGUUUUCGGCCAAGUGCGGAACCUUUUGGUUGGAAUUUUGGUGGAUAUUAAUGGCUAGAGUUGGUGUAUUUUAACCUACAGGUACUUGGAGUCCUGUGGAUACCCUCACUUUCGGAGUUGACAAGAGGCGUCAACUGUUUGGUGGGUUUGACCUCAUCGGAAUAAGUGGCUUCCCUCUAUGUUCUUCAUUCCGACCUAUAGGUCGGUAGAGAUCUUUUCAUGUUGAGACAUGACGAUUGAGGACUUGUGGACUAUGGAUCAUGCUUGCUUGCCAUUGUGCUCAUUCGCACAUGCUUGUGAGGGUCGCUCCCCACAAGCCGGCACUCCGGAGUUGGCCUAUGCGACAGAUUGCUCGCCCGUGCGGGAUUGGGUGCAGAAGUGGAUUGCCGUGGGAGUGUUUACUACCACGGGGCCAUUAGGUGCGGCGCAAGCUGGACUACCUGAUGUAGAUCUGUAUGAACUAAACAAAUACUAAACUAUAUUACUAUUAAUCACUACUCGGUAGUGUACAUUCAUAAAUGAGAUAGCAUGCUUACUUGUAUAUCAUAGUUUUCACUUGCAUGUAAUUAUUAUGAGAUUGGGAACCUAGUAAUUUUAAUAUUUACUAAUUGGUUGUAGCAGUAUUACUUUCUUUAUGCAAUGGAUAUACAUGUUUCUUUUCACA